UACAGAGGGUGCGAGCGUUGUUCGGAAUUACUGGGCGUAAAGCGCGCGCAGGCGGCUUUCUAAGUCCGUCGGUGAAAGACCGGGGCUCAACCCCGUGUCAGCCAUGGAUACUGGGAGGCUGCAGACAGGUAGAGGCAAGCGGAAUUCCGGGUGUAGCGGUGGAAUGCGUAGAUAUCCGGAAGAACACCGGAGGCGAAGGCGGCUUGCUGGACCUGGUCUGACGCUGAGGCGCGAAAGCGUGGGGAGCGAACAGG
rnacentral:rRNA from 1 species